AGACGGAGGGGGCUAGCGUUGUUCGGAAUUACUGGGCGUAAAGCGCGCGUAGGCGGAUUGAUCAGUCAGAGGUGAAAUCCCAUGGCUCAACCCUGGAACUGCCUUUGAUACUGUCAGUCUUGAGUUCGAGAGAGGUGAGUGGAAUUCCGAGUGUAGAGGUGAAAUUCGUAGAUAUUCGGAGGAACACCAGUGGCGAAGGCGGCUCACUGGCUCGAUACUGACGCUGAGGUGCGAAAGCGUGGGGAGCAAACAGGAUUAGAUACCCCGGUAGUCC
rnacentral:rRNA from 1 species